CACAACUUUGUUAACUAACCACAGUAGGGGUAUAACUGGAUACCCCUACCACCCACCAGGUUCUGAGCCACUACUGAGCUCGAGACCUACCAUAGUUCAUAACGAACUGUUUAACCAAACUCUUAACCAGCAGCCUAACUGCUUUAAUUUAUUUGAACUAACCCUUUUUGCCUAUUUGUCACCUGACGUUUCUGUUCUCUAGCCCUGCAUCUGUGACCAAAUGUAAACUAAACACACCCUACACCCCACUAACAUGGGAGGGAGCGAGAGACAAAUUAGACCAGGUAAACACAUUAAAAGUGCCUAUUUCUAAAAUGGCUGCCAAUUUAUACCUGUACUGUGCCAACCCCUUAACACUGCUACUCCCAAUCCCUGGGGCCCUAUGCCCGCCUCCUAGCUCUGUCAAGGCCCCUUUCCACUAAGCUGCGCUUGUUCCAUAGGGUUAUUUGACAGGCGCAUGGGCAGGUGAAAUUACCCCCAUAAUACUAACCCAAUAAAACACUGACAGUAAUGUAUGGGUCAACAGGGCCCACCUGCUGUUUCAAAACCCCACCUCUGCUAUUCGCAAUGCACGUAGCGCGGCCCUCCACACGUGCCUGCUACCCAGACCCGUACCGUCCCCCCUUCUAGGGCCUCUGGACGCUGCUCAGCACCGUCUCCCCAUGUGCGCAUACUCUUGCACGGUACAGUCAACUUUUAAGCUAACCUAGGGGGACCCAGAAAAGACAGGUGGUCCAUCCGCGCCAACUGGCCUGACGUCCCAGCCCAGGCUAAGUCUAUGUAGGGGCCUCCAUGUUCAUGCCGGGCAGAUCUCAUCACCGCCAUCUCGGAUCCCUGUCAAAACCGGUCCCUGGUGCUCCUGCACUCACGCUGCUCCAUGAUCCCGCGCUGCCACUUUCAUCCCUGCCAGGAGCUGCUACACAGAAUCCAUCCUGCAAAAGAAAGCAGAAACACCUACCUUUUAGGGAGAUCUGAAAUGGAAUGGGUAUUCAAUUUGCAAACCUUAGCCCCCCCCAAGGCUUAAAUGCAGACUUCGAUUUAUACGAUUUUUUAUAAUUUUGUUUUAACUAUUUUUAUCUAUUUUUUAUUUAUUUAUUUUAUGCAUAUUGGAUUCAGUAUAUGUUUUGCUGUCAAGUUGGGGCUAUCCUAUUCAUAGUUGUUACCUACGGCAUUAUAGUCUAGGAUGCCCCCAACUUGACCGCAUUCUUACCAAAUAUGUGCCACAAUAAUGCUUUUCUUUUUUACUUCACAUCUAUAAUAAGGCCAUAUAGUUGUUAUUUUGUUUUAAUUCACAGUUUUAUUUUAGUUUUAAUUGUCCCAUUUAUUUAAUUGUUUUUAUUACUUUACAUGUAAUUUAAUUCCCUUUUUUAACUUAUGCCCGUAGUUAAUAUGGCUCCUUUCAUCUAUGUUUUUAUUUACAGCCCUUUGAUAUAUA